rnacentral:rRNA from 1 species
CGCACGGAGCUUCGGCUCAGUGGCGGACGGGUGAGUAACACGUAGGAACCUGCCCGGAAGUGGGGGAUAACUCCUCGAAAGAGGAGCUAAUACCGCAUGUGGUCUACGGACCAAAGCAGCAAUGCGCUUCUGGAGGGGCCUGCGGUGGAUUAGCUAGUUGGUGGGGUAAUGGCCUACCAAGGCAACGACGGGUAGCUGGUCUGAGAGGAUGGACAGCCACAUUGGGACUGAGACACGGCCCAGACUCC